AAAAGAGGUGCAACAGUGGAAUUCUGAUUUUCUUCUCCAGGGCCUUUUUCCAUCAGCAGAGGAAAUCAAUGUCACUUUUUCCCCAUUUUUGUAAUUAAAUAAAUAUACCUUUCUCAGAAAGUCUUAAUGUUGACAUUACUGAAGUUUCUGUGGCAUUAAAUUAAACUGGAGAGCUAGAUACGAUCUUUCAGAAUUUAUAAUCUUUGUGAUCUGAUAUUUAUGAUGCAUCCAGCAGCUUUCUGUUCAGGUCUUUUACUAUCUGAUACCAUGUUCACAACUUGACAGUAUUGUGGUGUAGGCUGCUCAUGAAUUACGCAUGAGUUAACAAGUGUACUGGGAAUGUUCAUUUUUUAUUUCCUUGAUAGUUUUCAAAAGAAUCUGUUUCUUUGAUAAUGUGUUUUUAAGGUGACAUGUUAAGAAGUAUUACAUAGCUCUAAUAAGAUGAAAAAUUGCCUUCACAGUAGUUUGAAUAACUGUGAUAUAAUAAGCUUCUUUAAAAAAAAAAAAAAAGAAAAAAAAAAAAAAAAAAAAAAAAAAAAAAAAAAAAAAACAAAAAAAACAAUAUUAAAUGUUCCCAUGUAUGGUCUGACCCAUUUAAAAGCUCCUGCAUUGGAUGUGAUCAAAAUGAUCCUGCAUAGCACUUUGGACCAACUUUACAUUUAUCAGCUAGAAGCAACGAAACAUGAAGUUUCGGCAUAGACUGUUAGGGAUCCACCAAUAUUUUGAUGGCGCUAUGACUUCAUUUGGGCAGGAGGCAGGUGGGGAAGUGGAUAGAUAGAGAGCUGGUUCUAAGUUCAAAUCUAGUCUCAGAUACCAGAUAUAUGACCUUUGAUAAGCCACUUAACUCUGCCCUAGUUCUCAUCUGUAAAAUGAGCUGAAGAGGACAUGGCAAAUUACUCCAUUAUCUUUGCCAAGAAAAUACAAAAUAGGGUCACAAAGAGAUGGGUAUGAUUAAACUGACUAAAUAGCAACAGCAAUGAAUGAUUUCUUUGAUGUAGGUGUUCUCCCCAAUAGUAUAUGUAGGUAAUAUUCCAUUCACUGCAUCUCUGUACAUCCUCUUUAUGAGAUCUACUCCAUGUGGUACAGACCUUCCUCCUAGAUCUCUUAUUAUUACAUAGGGAGAAGUGAUACAUAAUUUAAAACUUCUCAUUCUAUUUAACCAACACACUUGUCUUCCUGGGUAUAAAUCUUGUGAUAGCAUCUUUUAUUUUGCUUCUGGUGCAUAAAACUUCAUUAGAAAUAUGCCAUCGCAUACCUAUACUUAACAUGUAGUUCUCUGUUGACUUUUAAUUACAACUUUAGUUCUUCAGAGACUGGGAUAUAUUAUAAUUUUGGUGGUUUUAUAGCAUCAUUGAAAAAAGACCACUAUUAAAAAUAAGAUGGGUCUUUCAGGAAGAAAGCCCAAGUAGUUUUUCAAAUGCACCUGGGAAACUGAUCAAUUAUUUUGAGCAUUUUAUAAUAUUAUCUUCCCUAGGAAAACUUCAGUUCAGUUAAUUGUUUCUCUCAGUGUGUCUCAAGACACAAGUACUAAUGGACCAGAACUAUCCAUCCACCUGCAUGUCAUAGUCUUCAUGAUAAAUACUCUACAUUCAAUAAAGUUUUUUAGGAUAGAGAGAAGGGAGAACA
ensembl:lncRNA